rnacentral:rRNA from 1 species
UACGGAGGAGGCAAGCGUUAUCCGGAAUCAUUGGGCGUAAAGCGCGUGUAGGCGGCUCGGUAAGUCCGCUCUGAAAGUCCGGGGCUCAACCCUGGGAUGCGGGUGGAUACUGCCGAGCUCGAGUCCGGAAGAGGCGAGUGGAAUUCCUGGUGUAGCGGUGAAAUGCGCAGAUAUCAGGAGGAACACCAAUGGCGAAGGCAGCUCGCUGGGACGUGACUGACGCUGAGACGCGAAAGCGUGGGGAGCGAACAGG